rnacentral:tRNA from 1 species
GCCUGGGUGGCUCAGUUGGUUGAGCGGCCGACUUCAGCUCAGGUCAUGAUAUCGCAGUCCGUGAGUUCGAGCCCCGCCUCGGGCU